rnacentral:lncRNA from 1 species
AUUACUCAAGAUGAUCAUUCACUGAAUAUAAUACCUCGGAUUUUUUUUUCUUUUGCCAACAACUGAGCUUGAUGGCAAUACACAUACGACUAUUGACACUUAAUAUUUAAUCCUUCCUAGAAGUCUCAAAAACAACUUCCAACUGCAACAUUCUUCAAAUUAAACGCGUCAAAUAAGUAACAAUGAUGACGACAAAUAUGAUGCUUAGAUCCAUCGAUCAUUUGCUGCGCUCCCACAAUUAUUUUCAGAAAAGAAAAAGGAAAAGCAAAAAGGAGGAGAAAAAAAACCCAAUAGCAGCAACAACAUACAAAAAGAAGCUCUAAAACAUACUAUACCGCAGUGCCCCAUGGACAUGUCCGGAGGGGGCCCUGCUGGCUUACGGUGGGGUAGGAAUAUGGAUCUUGGGAGCAGGAACAAGGCGUUUGUAUGGUUCAGGGCACCUCUUGUUUGCGUCCAGUGGGUUCCGCGUGCAGCCACCAGCUCGAGCUGGUCCUCGAUAUGGUGGAAAGCGUUCCAGAUGCCUUGCACCGGAGACGGGUUGGGAGCUCAAAAGCCACACGAUGGAAGUGAUGGAGAUUGCAACCAGUAGAAGGCCUCUCCGAGAAGAACCCAUGGUUGGUCUGAUCUGAUCUUUCUUUCUCCUUCUCUUUGCUUCACCGAACAAUGCUCAUGCAUAUGAAGGUAAGGUUUGGACCAGACUGCGUUGGAAAAAGUCGAGACUGAGAACGGC